AGAUGACAGUUCCGAGGGGAUUAUGUAAUUAACCGUAACUGAGUUUUGGAGCGGAAAAGAGAUCCAUCGGCAACCACCGACAUUCCAUAAUUCUCCGAGCCCGAUUUCCCCUUCCGGCCGACUAGUCCCGCCGCCGAUUCAAACCCUCUCUCUUGCUCUUGGAUUCCUUUUUCUCCAGAUUCUUUGGCGUUCAUUCAAUUCCAAUUUGGGCGCACAAUGCCAAGGCAUGUAAAUUUCAUAAAUCUGGAUAUAGACUAAGAAAUCAGGUUUGUUUCCUUGCGUUGGAGUUGAAUUUCGUCUGAUUUCAGGUACUACUGCGACACUUACCUGACACAUGAUUCUGUGAGUUUAUCUUGGUCUUUUCUUUAAUUAUUCCUGUAUUUAGCCAAAUUUGUUUAUCGAUAUGUCCUUCUGAAUGUUUGAGGUUAUAAUCCAAUUGAAUUGGGCGAACAUUUUACAGAUGUAUGCGUGGUUGUGUGCGUGACAAAUGGGGGUUCAAAUUUUCUUAUCUGGAUUGCAAAAUGGUUAGGAUAGCUCAAACACAACCUCAGCUUGGCCCCUUCAGAGCUUUGUUCGAUAUCCAACAAAUUCUCUAAGUAAUCUAACUUUGAUUGAAUUCUUAGCAUUGAUAAUCUUGACCAAAUGCCUCUUUAUGUUUAUCAUUCUUAAUGCUAAUUUCUUUGAGCCAAUUUACUCACUUUCUUCCAACUUGAUUGUCUCAAGUUUUUCUUCACCUUUCUUACACAGGCUCAACUAGGAGUUUUGGGUGCAUGUGUCCAGGUGUUGAACCUCCUUAAAACCUUUAAUUUAGGAAAUUGUUAAAAUUUGGCGGACCGUAUUUAGGUUUUGGGGGUCAGACACAUAUGUUGUACCUUAUCAGGUAAACAUGGAUACAAAACCAGAGAACCGAAGAGUUCUUCUUCACUUGAAUGCCAUAUGCUUGAGUGGAUGGAAUUCCAGGUAUAAAGAUGGAAAGCGGGAAGGAGAAAAGCUUUGUGGGAACUUGGGAAUUUGUUGGUUAAACACAGGCACGGUUGAAUGAUUUGAUAUUAAUAUUUGCCAUUCAUAUCACUUGGCUCAGAAAAAUUAGCAAGGUAGCAAGCAGAAAGUGAAAAGAUUCAUCUUUUUGAUGCCCUAAAAACCAUGCCUGACUCUUGCUUUCUACAAUAGCACAAUCAUGCCAUUCCAAUUUACAAGGGGCAUUUUUAUCUAACUAUUUGUGUGCCUGUAUGUGCAUAAGUUGUUCAUCAUUUUUACUUGGAGGAAUUUUAAUGCUUAAACCUUUUAUGUUCUGAAAUUAUCUUCCAUCACUUCUCAGCCAUCUGUCAGAAAGCAACACAAUGCUGGUUACAAACAUAAGGCAAAUGUAAGGUCCUAUUAUCAACAAUUUGGGGAAGAGCAGACGCAAAGUUUGAUUCAUCAGAGGAUCAAGGAGCACCUUGGGCAGACUUCAGUAUACCACCAGCA